rnacentral:rRNA from 1 species
UACGGAGGAUGCAAGCGUUAUCCGGAAUGAUUGGGCGUAAAGCGUCCGCAGGUGGCUAUGUAAGUCUGCUGUUAAAGAAUGAGGCUCAACCUCAUCAAAGCAGUGGAAACUACAUGGCUAGAGUGCGUUCGGGGCAGAGGGAAUUCCUGGUGUAGCGGUGAAAUGCGUAGAGAUCAGGAAGAACACCGGUGGCGAAAGCGCUCUGCUAGGCCGCAACUGACACUGAGGGACGAAAGCUAGGGGAG